rnacentral:rRNA from 1 species
CGUUAUUCGGAAUUAUUGGGCGUAAAGGGCGCGUAGGCGGCCAUGCGUGUCUUCCGUGAAAUCCCUCGGCUUAACUGAGGACGUGCGGAAGAAACUGCAAGGCUCGAGUCCGGGAGAGGGGGGUGGAAUUCCCAGUGUAGCGGUGAAAUGCGUAGAUAUUGGGAGGAACACCGGUGGCGAAGGCGGCCCCCUGGACCGGCAUUGACGCUGAACAGCGAAAGCCAGGGGAGCAAACGGG